rnacentral:tRNA from 1 species
GGCUCUGUGGCGCAAUGGACAGCGCAUUGGACUUCUAGCAUCAUCAUGUUCAAGUGUUCUAAUAUCAGCACAGAGGAAGUGAUUCAAAGGUUGUGGGUUCGAGUCCCACCAGAGUCG